AUUUUUUCGCCGCCGGGUGAAGAAUGCGUAAGGAACGCUGGGUUUCGUAUCGUUAGGCCUUUGAAGAUACGAGAUUUCAGCGUUUUUCUGUU
rnacentral:ncRNA from 1 species